AUGAAGCAUCUGACCUACCUGAUCACUGGAAUGAAAUGCACAAGACCUGAGGGCCAGCCUCUGCCAGGCCACCUCAUGCCAAAGGCCAUCAGUGGUUGCCCCUGCCACCUGUUCCCAUCAUCUCUGAAUCCUGCAUUCUGCCCGUUAUCAUGGACUUCUCCUCCAUGCUGGCUGUCUGUCUCCAGAAUUUAUUCUACCCUGCUGGCUGGUUCUAUAGCUCUAGAUCCUGCUGUUCAUGGCAUAGUCUAUUCCACAGCUAGGCCUUCUUCUGACAUGGACUAUAAAAAAAAUGACAAUGAUAAUGAAAACAACAACCCCUGCUUCUAUUACCUUUAUCAAGCACCCACUCUAUGCCAAGCUUGGCAUAUAUCAUCUCUCAUUUGAUCCUUGUGAUAACUCAUUAUUGUCCCCAUUUUACAGAUGAGAGCACCAAGCCUCAGAGAGAUUACAUGACUUGUCCAGAACCACACAGGUGGGACAUUGCAGAGCUGGAGUUAAUCCUAAAUAUUUCUGGCUCUCACAGUCCUUGUCCUUUGCAAAUCAUGAAAUUACAUAAGAUAAUGGAAGUUCCUGUGGUAGUUCAGCGGGUUAAGAACCUGACUAAUUUUUCAUGAGGAUGUAGUUUCAAUCCGGGGCUUCACUCAGUGAGUUAAGGAUCCAGCAUUGCCACACCCCGCAGCGUAGAUCAAAGAUGUGGCAUGGAUCCCAAGUGGCUGUGACUGUGGCAUAGGCUGGCAGCUGCAACUCUGAUUCAGCCCCUAACCUGGGAACUUCCAUAUACCCCAGGUGCAGCCCUAAAAAGAAAAAGGGGGGAAAAAAAAGAUAAUGGACAUGACAGGCUUUGUAACAGUACAACACAUUCUUAUUAAAAUAACUUUUUUAAAAAAGAAUUCCAUGUCUUUGUGCCCCAUCUGCCAAUGCAGGCUGGCAAACCCUGCUCAGUCUCCUCCAAGAACUCAGAAUCCCUGGGGGUAUCUGUAUUCCAGAACAAGUCCUGGCAGCUGCCACAUUGACCUUAUCAUUGCUAAUCCUAAGUGCAUGGGCACUAACAGGGUUCCUGGCAUCUGGACUAGCUCUUUACACAUGAUUUCACAUAUAUGUCCAUACACCUCUUCAGUCAGUAAAUAUAUUGUUUUUAUUUCACAAACCAGGCACAGAGAAGUGACAUAGAACGUGUUGGUAGUCCCCAGAGCUCAGGGUUGGCAGAGAAAGCUGUAGUGUCUGUGCCCUGCAACAAUUGUACUGGCCAGAAUCAUUCUCUUCUGGCCAGGAUUCUCAACGGUGAUUAUUAAUUAAUUAAUCUGACAGCAAACUAGAAGUUUUCAUUUUUGUUUUUUGUUUUGUUUUUUGCCACAUUGGUGGCAUAUGAAAGUUCCCAGGCCAGGGAUCAAACCCAAGCUACAGCUGUAUCCUGGUGGCAGUGACAAUGCGGGAUCCUUAAUCCACCAAGCCACACAGAAACUCCUAGAAAGUUAUUUUAUUUUAUUUUAUUUAUUUAUUUAUUUUUGUCUUUUUGUCUUUUGUUGUUGUUGUUGCUAUUUCUUGGGCCGCUCCCGUGGCAUAUGGAGGUUCCCAGGCCAGGGGUUGAAUUGGAGCUGUAGCCACCGGCCUAUGCCAGAGCCACAGCAACGCGGGAUCCGAGCCGCGUCUGCAACCUACACCACAGCUCACGGCAAUGCCAGAUCGUUAACCCACUGAGCAAGGGCAGGAACCGAACCCGCAACCCCAUGGUUCCUAGUCGGAUUCGUUAACCACUGCGCCACGACGGGAACUCCCUAGAAAGUUAUUUUAAUAAGAAUGUGUAAUACUGGUAUAAAGACUGUCAUGUCAAUUAUCUUAUUUAAUUUUCAUGGUUUGCAAAAGACAAGGACUAUGAGAACCAGAAACAAAAAUAAGAUAUUUUUAUCCAAAAUAAAAUGCAAGGGGAAGGGGGGGUAGAGGAGGGAAGGACUGGGAGUUUGGGAUUAGCAGAGGCAAACCAUUAUAUGUAGGAUGGAGAAACAACAAGGUAAGGUCCUACAGUAGAGCGUAGGGAACUAUAUUCAAUAUCCUUAAACAAACCAAUAUCCUUAGACAAACCAUAAUAGAAAAGAAUAUGAAUAAGAAUAUGUGUGUAUACAGAGUUUCCAUUGUAGCUCAGUGGUUAAAGAUCCCCACUAGUAUCCAUGAGGAUGUGGGUUCAAUCCCUGGCCUUGCUCAGUGGGUUAAGGAUCUGGCAUUGCCGUGAGCUGUGG
rnacentral:lncRNA from 1 species